rnacentral:rRNA from 1 species
AUAAACGCUGGCGGCGCACAUAAGACAUGCAAGUUGAACGGACUUAAUCGAAAUAUUUAUAUUUUGAAGCGGUUAGUGGCGGACUGGUGAGUAACGCGUAAGGAACCUGCCUAUUAGAGGGGAAUAACAGUGAGAAAUCAUUGCUAAUACCGCAUAUGCCAUAGAUAUCACAUGAUAACAGUGGGAAAGGAGCAAUCCGCUAAUAGAUGGCCUUGCGUCUGAUUAGAUAGUUGGUGGGGUAACGGCCUACCAAGUCGACGAUCAGUAGCCGGACUGAGAGGUUGAACGGCCACAUUGGGAAUGAGAUACGGCCCAGACUCCUACGGGAGGCAGCAGUCGGGAAUAUUGCGCAAUGGAGGAAACUCUGACGCAGUGACGCCGCGUAUAGGAAGAAGGUUUUCGGAUUGUAAACUAUUGUCGUUAGGGAAGAGAAAGGACAGUACCUAAGGAGGAAGCUCCGGCUAACUACGUG